AAAUGUAUGCAUCUCACAACAGAAAUUCAGAAGAUAAUUAGAAAUUAUUUUGAAAACUUGUACUCCAAUAAAAUAGAAAAUAUUGAAGGCAUUAACAAAUUUCUAGAGUCAUAUGAUUUGCCCAAAUUGAAUCAGGAUGAUAUACACAAUUUAAACGGAUCAAUUUCAAGCAAUGAAAUAGAAGAUUCCAUCAGAAGCCUAACAACCAAAACAAGUCCGGGACCAGAUGGUGUCAGAUCAGGUGAGUUGGGCAGCGAACAAAGAAGACAGAUUCUAAAAGGCCGCUGAAGGAGGCUUUACUGAGAUUCCAUUCCCUGGCAGAACUCUAUCAGACUGACAGAGUGGACAAGAAGAAGGGUCUGAGGAGAAACCACGUGGAAGUUCGACCAGACUGGACUUUUACGGGGCUUACAGCAGGAGGGAAGGGCUUGGGACAGGAAAAUGUGUUUUUAGGGUCCCUUGUCCCGUUGGAGUUGGUCAGGGAGCUGGCUGCACUCCAGGAUUGGCCAGGGGGUCCUGCUGAUUGACAGGUGUUAGUCAAGAGAUCUCACUGAUUGACAGGCGAUUCCACCCGGCACCUGAUUGAUGUUCCUUUUCCGCGCAGGCUGCUUUGUUCUAAGUCACCGCCACCGACCUAACAGAUGGAUACGCAGCCGAGUUCUACAAGAUCUUUAAAGAACAACUAAUACCAAUACUCUUCAAUUUAUUUUAGGAAACAGAAAAAAAGGGAGCACUUCCAAACUCAUUCUAUGAGGCCAAUAUCACCCUGAUUCCAAAACCAGGCAAAGACACAUCAAAGAAAGAAAACCAAUAUCUCUAAUGAACAUAGAUGUGAAAAUUCUCAAUAAAAUUCUGGGAAAUCAAAUACCAAAACAUAUCAAAAAGAUGGUGCACCACGAUCAAGUGGGAUUCAUCCCAGGGAUGCAAGGUUGGUUUAACAUAUGGAAAUCAAUAAAUGUAAUUCAUCACAUCAAUAGACUUAAGAAUAAUAUGAUCAUCUCAAUAGAUGCAGAAAAAGCAUUCGACAAAAUACAGCAUCCCUUCAUGUUCAAAACACUAGAAAAACUAGGGAUAAAGCAGAAACAUAUCUCAACAUUGUAAAAGCUAUCUAUGCGAAGACCCAGGCCAACAUCAUUUUAAAUAGAGAAAAAUUGAAAGCAUUCCCUCUAAAAACUGGAACAAGGCAGGGAUGCUCUCUUUCACCACUUUUAUUCAACGUAGUUCUUGAAACACUGGCCAGAGCAAUUAAGACGAAAGAAAUUAAAGGGAUACUUAUAGGAAAAGAAGAACUCAAAUUAGCACUAUUUGCCAAUGACUUCAUUCCAUACCUAGAAGAUCCAAAAAAUUCCACCAGAAAACUUCUAGAACUAGUAAAUGAAUUCAGCAAAGUAGCAGGAUACAAAAAUCAACACCCAUAAAUCAAAGGCAUUUCUGUAUAUCAGUGACAGGGAAAUGAGGAAAACUACCGCAUUUACAAUAGCCUCAAAAAAAAAAAAUACUUGGGGAUCAACCUAACAAAAGAGGUAAAAGACUUCUACAAUGAAAACUACAAAAUGCUAAAGAAAGAAAUUAAAGAAGAUGGAAAGAUCUCCCUUGUUCUUGGAUAGACAGAAUUAAUAUUGUCUAAACGACCAUACUGCCAAAAGCAUUAUACAGAUUU
rnacentral:lncRNA from 1 species